GAUAGGAAAGGAGGAAGAUAAAUGGAAGCAAAGAGUGAGUGAGAGAAGGAAGGAUCUGGAUGGAAAAUAAGAGAAAGAAAGAAGGAAGGGAGGGGAGGAAGGGGAGAGGUGCUGGCGACAGUAGCCCAGAGGGAGGUGUGGGAGUGAGCCCACACUCAGGGAUAACUGCCUGGUGACCGCGGCUCACUUGGACUUGGCCUCUCUCUGACUUCUGUGCCACUGAACAUCUGCCUGCCCGAUGUGGCACUUCAUUAGUUCAUGUCUGAUUGUCCAGUCAUUUUAUAACCAUUACCUCAAUUAGACUACCAACUUUUUGAGAGCAGUGCUUUUUCUUGGAUAUCUUUUGUGCUCUGGUCGUCCCUUGUUCUUCCCAGGUCCCUACGACAGCACUGGGUUCCUGGAACACGGUGAAUUGUCCCCAGUGUUCACUGGACCCCUGGCAACCGUGUCAGUUUCUCUUGCUCUAAGUGUGCACCUUCCUUUUUAUUCUUUACGUGGCCACAUGGGAGUAGUGUCACCUCCAACGCUUCACUUAUCAUGUGCUUUCCAGAGGUGGUGUGAUAUUUAAAAACAGUCAUUGUCACCUGAGCAGUGGAAGACUCACUCACUCAUUAACGUACUAUGACAGGUGACUGUUUAGGAGAACACUAGAAUCUACAUAAUACUGAAGAUUAUUUUCAGAGUGGGGGAACCUUACAGACACCACUGAGAAUAUUUCAUCUACCCUUACUGCCUGGCUGUAGUCCAGGAAGGAAUGCUCUCCGAUUAAGGUCAACUUGAAUCUUCUUGGGACUGAACUGAACGAAGUAUUUUAGUUUUGUGUUUCAGAGGUAUGCUCCUAGUACGGACUGCGAAUGGCCUGCUCCUCCGGUGGGAGAUGUACACAGCCUGUGAGCACUGUCGAUGAACGGUGGUAUCGUGUCAAGAUGGAUCGCUGAGUGGACUCGAAGGGCUCUGGGCUGAACGUGGGGAUCAGAAACCUUUUCAGCAUAGUGCUACCUUGAAGAGCUUACCUGCCUGCAUCCACGACACAAUUUUUGACUCGGCAAAGUUUUAGCACGAGGAAACAAUUCGGCAGCUCUACCGAGCAUUUCAUUCAGGAGAUGGGGGGCUGUCUGGGGAAGACCCUGUGCAUUUCCUCCGUGAAGGAAAUACUUUCUUCAUUAUCUCCUAAAAUAAAAGUACCAGGCCGAGAUAAAAUGGAAUUCCCUCUACCUGAAUGAAUCCCUUCCCAGAGAAGCCGAUCAUCUAAGGGCCAGAGAACAAGUGUUGUGAAUUCUCUCCUGAGAGACUACUGAGGGAGACCACAUAAAUUCUACCUGAACAAAUGGAUGAUGGACACACUAUACUGAAGAACACAAAUACCACAAUGAGUUAGGAGCACAGCAAAUUCGCAGAGGAGCCACACUGAGCCUCAGAGAGAUGAAGAGUGCUGUCCUGACUCUGGGUGCGACCCUUGUGGGGCACCGCUGAGAAUAACUCUGCGGUCACUUUUUCCCUUUAGAGAAUAAUGCUGAAAAACACCUGAUGAUACAGUUUUCUUGAGAGUCAUAGCAGAUCUUUAUGUUAUUUGAGGUGAUUUUCCCUCCAUUGUCUAGAGUCCUUACCACAGAAUCCUGUGAGAAUAUGGUCUAAGGAUAAUGCCCCAUUAGCCAGCCUGACCUGAUUUCUCCCUGUUUUGGGAACUUUCAGGCCAACCUAUAAUUUUAAGUCCCUCAUAUGCUUUUCAGAGUAAUUUGGCAUCUGCUGAAAGUCAUUGUCAUUUGAGAUAACUGCUUUUCUUUCUAUAAAGACAAAAGCAAAUGAAAAGACGACAGCGAUCUGCCAAAAAUGGAGGUCCUUGUGGAGAAGUACUGAUAAAUCUCCAAAUGCUAUUCUAUCCCUGAUGCAGCUCAUGCAGCGUCCACCUGCAGCCAGCAAUCAACACGCUAAAUCUUAGCAAUGCAAGGCCACUGGAGAAAAAGAAUUUACCUUGGAGUCCAGCUGCUGCAUGUAUGACCAAAGAUACUCUAUAUUGGCUCCAAAAGGAUGGACGUGAAGAAAUGUCGAGAUGAUGCCUGAAUUAAAAAGACAAACAGUGGACAUUACUGAAAGGCAAAUAAGAGUCUGAGUCAAAUCAUGUCAUCCUAUCCCAGGGAUGGUUUUGUCAGGCUAAGUUAUGGUCUCACCAUUUUUAAUAGCACUCAACAAGCAUUCAGUAACAGUCGUUUUGAAGACGACAGUCAUAGUAAUGUGGCACACAGAACACUCUCUCUCCUGGAAUGACACUAGUUAGAAAAGCUAGACUUGGAGAUAAUUUAUAGAUGAAUAAAGGUAUUUCUAAACAAAGACUCCUGGAAGCAUUUCAACUACCAAUUUUAUGCUUGAUUUACCAAUAUAAAAUUGUAGUUAUUGGGAGGAUAAAAUUCUCUGCUCUUUCCCUCAGUGGCCUUUGCGGAAUGAAAAUGGCUCAUACAGCUGUGUCAGAGAUCACACAGCCUCAGAGUUUCCUGAUAAUUACAGCUGCUAGUUACAAAAAGUAUUUAAUCCCUAUUCCCUCUAACUGCCACUGAAGGAAACCCAAAUCCUUUAUUUCCCCCUGGUUGUUUCUGUUGUUUCAACAGAGCCAGCUCACUCUCUCCUUGCUGCUCUAAUUUACAAGAUCAUUGUAAGAGGCCCAGGAAUGGAUGGUGUGGCUGGAGUCUGAUAUAAGUCAGAAGUCUUUUCCAUUGUGAAAAUCAGCUGUCACCAUUGUACUGACAAAUGAAAGGCUGGGUGUUGGUGUCAGGGCUGAGGUAAAUAAAGGCAUUACUUUUCUGUC